AACGCGAAGAACCUUACCUGGGCUCGAACGGCUGGUCAACGCCGGUGGAAACACCGGUACUCCGCAAGGAGGUCCAGUCGAGGUGCUGCAUGGCUGUCGUCAGCUCGUGUCGUGAGAUGUUGGGUUAAGUCCCGCAACGAGCGCAACCCUUGUCCUGUGUUGCCAUCAUUCAGUUGGGAACUCGCAGGAGACCGCCAGCGAUAAGCUGGAGGAAGGUGGGGAUGACGUCAAGUCCUCAUGGCCUUUAUGUCCAGGGCUACACACGUGCUACAAUGGACGGUACAAAGCGUCGCUAACCCGCGAGGGGGAGCCAAUCGCAAAAAACCGUUCUCAGUUCGGAUUGCAGGCUGCAACUCGCCUGCAUGAAGCUGGAAUCGCUAGUAAUGGCAGAUCAGCACGCUGCCGUGAAUACGUUCCCGGGCCUUGUACACACCGGCUAC
rnacentral:rRNA from 1 species